AACCCGUAGAUCCGAACUUGUGGUGGUAGUGCACACAAGCUUGUGUCUAUAGGUAUG
rnacentral:pre_miRNA from 1 species